rnacentral:rRNA from 1 species
AUGGUAUAUCACCUAUAUUAUGAUAAUCUUGUGGAAUGUUUAUUUUCAACUGAACAUACUAAUCAGUUGUGCAUCGUACUGCUUAUUGCAGAUCAUUAUGAUGUAAAAAUGCCCUGCCAUCUGAUUCUCUCAAAGCUAGCAGACAAGUGCCCCUAUGCUGUUCUUGCAGUUUUGGACUCAUUAGUUGAACCCCUUGAGGAAACUAUUGGUGACAAACCGACGGGUGAUGCAGUGAAGCAGGAGAUUGAUCGCAAUGAAGACAUGAUUCACAGUGCUCUUCAAGCAAUUGCUGCUCUAAGCCGCAUAAGUGGCAGCGGCUACAGCAUGAAGUUGAAGAAUCUGAUGAGCAAGAUAAAGGCCACUCCUUCAUUUUUGAAUAUGUUAGGAAAUACGUGCACAUGCCUGGGAAAUUCGAGGCGAUGA